GGACGGGUGGCCGAGCGGCUGAAGGCGCACGCCUGGAAAGUGUGUUGACAUCACAAGUGUCACGUGGGUUCGAAUCCCACCCCGUCCG
rnacentral:tRNA from 1 species